CCGGUGCCUUAGGAUUGGUCUGCGGUCUAUCAGGCUGUAGUGGGUGUAAUGGACCCACUAGCCCGUGACGGAUAUGGGCCUUGAGAGAGGGAGCCCAGAGAUGGACUCUGAGACAUGAGUCCAGGCCCUACGGGGCGCAGCAGUCGCGAAAACUUCGCAAUGGGGGCAACCCCGACGAGGGAAUUCCAAGUGCUAGCACUUUGUGUUAGCUGUUCUUCUGUCUAAAAAACAGGAGGAGUAAGGGGCGGGUAAGACGGGUGCCAGCCGCCGCGGUAAUACCCGCGCCCCAAGUGGUGGUCGAUAUUAUUGAGCCUAAAACGUCCGUAGCCGGUCUUCUAAAUCCUUGGGUAAAUCGGGCAGCUUAACUGUCCGAAGUCCGGGGAGACUGGGAGACUUGGGACCGGGAGAGGUCAGAGGUACUUCUGGGGUAGGGGUAAAAUCCUGUAAUCCUGGAAGGACCACCGGUGGCGAAGGCGUCUGACUAGAACGGAUCCGACGGUGAGGGACGAAGCCCUGGGGCGCAAACGGGAUUAGAUACCCCGGUAGUCCAGGGUGUAAACGCUGCGGGCUUGGUGUUGGGGGUCCUUAGUGGGCGCCCAGUGCCGGAGAGAAGUUGUUAAGC
rnacentral:rRNA from 1 species